CAAAAAACUACAUCUCCCAGAUAACAUCACGAGGGGAGAGGGGUGUUUUCACCGCGCAUGCCAAACACAGCCCACUAUUCCGUUAUUCGCUGUGAUUUCAUGAUGGCUGAAGCGCCUGCGACCUCUAACGGCGUAGUAAGAGACUCAGCAGAACUAGUUUCAGAUAAAAAGGGAUGGUUAUCAAAGCGAACACAGUUUACCUAUCGCUGGAAGCCUGCCUGGUUCGUGAUAAAAGAAACACAGCUUUUGUAUGGGGAGAAUGAAAAGGCAGUACAAAAGAAAAUCAGCCUUUUAGGUGCCCAUGUUAAAGAAGUCGAUGGCAAUGAGAUGACAUUCACUUGGACAAUUACUCCAAAGGGGGGCAAGAGGACAUUCUUCCUGAAAGCAAACAGUGAAUCUGAGCAGCGUGAAUGGAUACAGGCCAUCUGUGACGCUUUGGUGAAGUCUUCAACGGGACACGCCUCCACAACUUGCACUGUACAGUAGCAAUGAUCACCAGCACUAAAUGUUCAAUUGAGAGCCACCUACAAGGCUCUAAAAGUAUGGCUGGUGCUUUACCCCACGCAGACUGCUUGGCAACUAUAUACCUUUGAAUAGAGAACUGUCCGGUAUUUAUAUAUAUAUAUAUACAUAUAUAUAUAUAUAUAUAUAUAUAUAAAUAUUUUAAUGAACAAGUUGUCCCGUCUCACCACAGCAAGCAGUACACCCAAAAUGUUACCCGUUUUGAAUGAUCAACGGCAGAAUCUAUAUUAAUUGUCCCUUAACCCCUCUUGGCCGUUACCAUUGCAGAAACAAGUAUCUCCUCUCUGAAAUUCACAAUUGGUAGGUAGUGCAUUGAUAACAUGUGAGGUGUUGCUGCCCAUGUGGGGUGUAAUACUAAUUCAAAUCUUUCACUUUAGGUGAAUAUUUUCUAUUUAGGGUUACAAAGAUAUUUAGUAAGCAUGUGGGCUGAGAGGGAUAAAAUGGGCAACACAUGUCCAAGUACCACAAACAAUCAGGGGUGUUCCAAUGCUUUUUGAAGCCACUGUGGGGUCGUUUUAGUUGUUGUGUGAAGAAACUUCAAAGCCAGUAGUAUAUUAUUCUAUAUGCAGCACACAGUAACAGUUGAUUAGAAAACACUCUAGGACUCCACAGAAAUAUUAUAUUGGUGUAUUCCUUAGAUCAUUUAAAAAUCUUACCAAGAUAGCAUCACAGGCUUUUCCUUUGUACCAUGAACAAAGCAAAAACAAAUUGAAUUUCUGUCAGGGUUUACAUACACAAGGUGUGCCAGCCACACUUAGAGCAAUUUCUGUUGAUGUUUGCCACCCACUGCAGAUGGUAAUUUUGUCUUUGUCUUGAAUCUAUUUUGUAUAGAAACAAGUUAGUUGCUGCUGCUGUAACUGAUUAAAUGUUCCACUCUCCUAGAUAAAUAUUUUAAAUAGACAAACACACAUUUUCAUAGUGUACUCUAAACAGCUUGGGUUCCAGUAGAACACCACAGCUGUUUAGAGUAUAUUUGAAAUAUUCAUACAGUAUCAUGCCAUGCUUAUAAAAAAAAAAAAAAAAAAACUGUAGCUACACUUUAUGUAAACCGCAAAGCCAAAUAAACCAAAUAGCAACUGCACACAUAUAAACAAAUACAAUUUGAAAUGAUCAUCUGAACCUAGACUUUAAAGAUAACCAAUGUUAAGACAUUUAUAAUGUAGUAAGAAUGGAAAUGAACAUUUUGCAAUAAAAAUGAUUGUUUGAAAGGCUAA